UUUAAUAUAGCAUAUAUUUAAUGUAUUGAAUUUAAGCUUCAAAGAAAAAAAUUUUUUUUAUUAAAA
rnacentral:tRNA from 1 species